AUACGUAGGGGGCGAGCGUUGUCCGGAAUGAUUGGGCGUAAAGGGCGCGUAGGCGGCCCGGUAAGUCUGGAGUGAAAGUCCUGCUUUUAAGGUGGGAAUUGCUUAGGAUACUGUCGGGCUUGAGUGCAGGAGAGGUACGUUGAAUUCCCAGUGUAGCGGUGAAAUGCGUAGAGAUUGGGAGGAACACCAGUGGCGAAGGCGACUUACUGGACUGUAACUGACGCUGAGGCGCGAAAGUGUGGGGAGCAAACAGGAUUAGAUACCCUGGUAGUCCACACUGUAAACGAUGAAUGCUAGGUGUAGGGGGUAUCGACCCCUUCUGUGCCGCAGUUAACACAAUAAGCAUUCCGCCUGGGGAGUACGGCCGCAAGGUUGAAACUCAAAGGAAUUGACGGGG
rnacentral:rRNA from 1 species